AUACUUACCUGGCGUAGGGGAUACCGUGAUCAUGAAGGCGGUUCCCCCAGAGCGAGGCCUCAUCAUUGCACUGCGAUGGGGUUGACCUCUGCGAUUAUCCCUAAUGCGGAUAACUCGGACGCGUAAUUUUUGGUAGUGGGGACUGCGUACGCGCUGUCCCCC